rnacentral:lncRNA from 10 species
CUGCCGCCAGGUAAGAUGUCCGUUUGGUCUUCUUCGUCUUCUGCCAUGACUGUGAGGUUCCCCUCAGCUGUGUGGAACUGGGAGUCCAUUAAACUUCUUUGAUUUAUAGACGACCCAGUUUCAGGUCAGUGGUUGUCAAAGGCGACAAUGCAUCGGUAUUGUCUGAAGAAAUUUUCAAAUACCUGCUCCUUUCUAGGAUCCAGACACAGGAUAAGAUACAUGUGGGGAAUGACCUUUCCGUGCCUGUGCGGUUUAUUGGGAUUAUGCAAAGAAGGAGAGCAUUGGCCGGGCGCAAUGGCUCAUGCCUGUAAUCCC